CUAGCGGCAGGCUUAACACAUGCAAGUCGAGGGGCAGCGCGGGAUAGCAAUAUCCUGGCGGCGACCGGCGGAAGGGUGCGUAACGCGUGAGCGACAUGCCCGUUGCCCGGGGACAACCGGUGGAAACGCCGACUAAUCCCCGAUGGGAUACGAUGCUUCAUGGCAUUGUAUUGAAAGUUACGGCGGCGACGGAUUGGCUCGCGUCCGAUUAGCUUGUUGGCGGGGUAACGGCCCACCAAGGCUGCGAUCGGUAGGGGUUCUGAGAGGAAGGCCCCCCACAAUGGGACUGAGACACGGCCCAUACUCCUACGGGAGGCAGCAGUGAGGAAUAUUGGUCAAUGGGCGGAAGCCUGAACCAGCCAUGCCGCGUGCGGGAAGGAGGCCCUAUGGGCUGUGAACCGCUUUUGCCUGGGGGCAAUAAGGGCGUCGCGCACGUCCGAUGAGAGUACCAGGCGAAUAAGCAUCGGCUAACUCCGUGCCAGCAGCCGCGGUAAUACGGGGGAUGCGAGCGUUAUCCGGAUUCAUUGGGUUUAAAGGGUGCGUAGGCUGUGCGUCAAGUCGGGGGUGAAAUUCCGGUGCUCAACACCGGGGCUGCCCUUGAUACUGUCGCGCUGGAGUGCGGAUGCCGCCGGAGGAAUGAGUGGUGUAGCGGUGAAAUGCUUAGAUAUCACUCAGAACACCGAUUGCGAAGGCAUCUGGCGAAUCCGUAACUGACGCUGAGGCACGAAAGCGUGGGGAUAGAACAGGAUUAGAUACCCUGGUAUUCCACGCCGUAAACGAUGAUGGCUAACCGCCGGCGACACACUGUCGGUGGCCAAGCGAAAGCGAUAAGCCAUCCACCUGGGGAGUACGUCGGCAACGAUGAAACUCAAAGGAAUUGACGGGGGCCCGCACAAGCGGAGGAACAUGUGGUUUAAUUCGAUGAUACGCGAGGAACCUUACCCGGGCUCGAACGGCACCUGGAUCGCCCAGAGAUGGGCGAGUCUUCGGACAGGUGUCGAGGUGCUGCAUGGUUGUCGUCAGCUCGUGCCGUGAGGUGUCGGCUCAAGUGCCAUAACGAGCGCAACCCUUGCCGCCAGUUGCCAUCAGGUGAUGCUGGGCACUCUGGCGGGACUGCCACCGCAAGGUGUGAGGAGGGGGGGGAUGACGUCAAAUCAGCACGGCCCUUACGUCCGGGGCGAC
rnacentral:rRNA from 1 species